rnacentral:lncRNA from 1 species
CGACUCCAGCUCCCCCGACUUCUCUCCUCCUUGAGCUAGAGCACAUUCAGAAACACAUAUGGUAUAUAGGGGGCAAGAAUGAGCCCGAACCAGAGCAGCCCAUUCCUCGCAAGGUGCAGAUCCGCUCGCUGCCCAGCCUGGAGGACAUCGACCCCGACGUGCUGGACAGCAUGCACUCACUGGGCUGCUUCCGAGACCGCAACAAGCUGCUGCAGGACCUGCUGUCCGAGGAGGAGAACCAGGAGAAGAUGAUUUACUUCCUCCUCCUGGACCGGAAAGAAAGGUACCCGAGCCAGGAGGAUGAGG